rnacentral:rRNA from 1 species
GCUGGCGGCACGCCUAACACAUGCAAGUCGAACGAAGUAGCAAUACUUAGUGGCAGACGGGUGAGUAACAUGUGGGUAUCUGCCCUUUGGCCUGGAAUAACACGAGGAAACUUGUGCUAAUACCGGAUAAGUCUUUACGGAGAAAGCUUUAUGCACCAUUGGAUGAGCCCGCACUUGAUUAGUUUGUUGGUGGGGUAAUGGCCUACCAAGACUGUGAUCAAUAGCUGAUUUGAGAGGAUGAUCAGCCACAUUGGGACUGAGACACGGCCCAAACUCCUACGGGAGGCAGCAGUGGGGAAUCUUGCACAAUGGAGGAAACUCUGAUGCAGCGAUGCCGCGUGAGUGAAGAAGGCCCUUGGGUUGUAAAGCUCUUUCGUCGGGGAAGAAAAUGACUGUACCCGAAUAAGAAGGUCCGGCUAACUUCGUGCCAGCAGCCGCGGUAAUACGAAGGGACCUAGCGUAGUUCGGAAUUACUGGGCUUAAAGAGUUCGUAGGUGGUUGAAAAAGUUAGUGGUGAAAUCCCAGAGCUUAACUCUGGAACUGCCAUUAAAACUUUUCAGCUAGAGUAUGAUAGAGGAAAGCAGAAUUUCUAGUGUAGAGGUGAAAUUCGUAGAUAUUAGAAAGAAUACCAAUUGCGAAGGCAGCUUUCUGGAUCAUUACUGACACUGAGGAACGAAAGCAUGGGUAGCGAA